GGCAUGAGUGAUAGGCCCAAAGAGUGUGACUAUACCAUAUGAACUCAUGAGACAGAAAGAUUGUUUGCGUUAAACUUGUACUGAUCUUUGAAAUACCAGCAUUAUCUUAUUUAAGGUUUGGGAUGAGGUAAUAGAAACAAAGAAAAACAUGGUUAAUUGGACACCAAGUGCCCAGUAGUUAGGGAGACUUAUGGCAAAAUGAGAUAAGAAGAAAACUUUGAAGAAAGAUGCCCCGUCAUUAAUCUUGUCUUGACAGGAGCAGAGGACAGUGUCCAGCCCUAAACUGCUAAGGUCUGAUAACUACCAAUGACAUCACUUUUUUAGGAUAGUGUAUAAGAAACAAGGUUCUUCAGGAUUUUCUUUGUCAGAGCUUUUCAUAUGGAAUCACACCAUGAUUGGAAGGUAUCUCCUGGGCCUGAUCCUGUUGAUAAGUAUUUGGACAAUGCAUGUAACUGUAUUGUUGCUAAGGCUAUGCAACCUAGAGUUGGUCUGUUCAGCAAAGAGCCCCUGACUGUCAAACGGAAGGUCUUGGAUAGUUUGCUGAACUUCCGGCGGGUCACCCGAGGACUGAAGCCAGGCAUUACACUGCAUGGCAAUACCAGCUGCCAGUGUACAAGCUGCCGCGUCCGCGGCAUCCAGGGAGCCUUGAAGAGCAGUUCGGGACACUAGUCUGCCCUCCUCAGCAAUGGCCCCCAGCUCCUGCCGAGAAUCAGAUGGGAGCAGCUCCUUGAACUUUUGAAUAGCAGAACAGAAUUAUAGCUGUAUCCGCUAAGGAUCACGAGCUGAUUAGCCAUCCGUAGGGAGAGGCCACCGGUAGAAUAAACCUCUCUCCCAAAGAGGUCCAGACGUUUUGCGUUCCUUGAUUUAGGGGCAGGCCCCUACUGACCCUGUUUUUCUUUUUCAUUUACUGCAUUCAUCACCAGGGAGCAUGGGGGGGGGAUGGGUAAAAAGGUAUUCAUACCCCUUAGUGGGGACAAAGUACUUUCUUUUGGCCCUUUUGGCCGUGGGGGGAAUGGAGGCCAGAGUUUGCCAGAUUGUUUUGGCAUUCGACUGAAUGGACUUUAUAAUGGGCAGUGCCACCCUAGAGGACCCUUCUGGUGUCAGAAUGUCCACCAUGGGGUCCUCUUCUUCUAUGACCUCCUCCACCUGGAGAUUCAUGUUUAAGGCCACUCGCCAUAGAAGUUCCUGUAGGGCCUGGUAGUCCAUGGAUGUACCCGCCACCGCCUCAUCAGGAGACGAGGAGGAGGAGGCAACCGGCAGAAUUGGGUCCGAGACAGCCCCUUGGUCCACUGGUUCUGGUUCCUCCUGGGCACUGGCUGGAUCCAGGGUUUGUGCAGAGUCCGGAGGAGGACGACUGAUGGUUGCCUUGGGAAUACAGGAUCCAGAACAAGAUGGCGGCGGGAAACCUGGAGGGCUGCCCUGGGCUUGGUGGUACGCUCAGGGAGUCUAGAACUGCCACUGGCAUUGCCAGUGGGGCGCUGAAGCGUCCCGUCUAAUAUUGCCUGGACCUGAUUGGGGUGCCUCCGAUGCUCCCGAUGCCCUACCCUACCUGUGGGAGAGUGACUGGAAGUGGGAUGGCUAAGGAGAGGUGGUACGCUGUACUAGGGGAGGUGCUGCAUCCCCUGAUGGGCAGAAUGGGUACCGUGUGGAGUGGCGAGAUCCAAACAGUGAUCAGCGGUGCUGUUGUGGAGAGCAGUACCGGGAGAUUGACCAGCGCCGAGAUGUUGGACUUUGCCUCGGUGGAGAGCGGCCACGGGAAUGCGACCACGACUGAUGCCAUGCUGGGGAACGGUUCCGUGGUGGAGAGCAGUGCCACGAUGGAGAGUGGUUUCACGAACUGUGUUGCGGAGAGGUGUGGGGCCGCGACAGGGAGCAGUGCCUCAGCACGGACCAGUAUUGGUUUGAGCAGUGCCGUGGGCUCUCAGACUUUGACCUAGACCUCAAGUGGGACCAUGACGUGUCACCCAAUGAUCACCUUGAGCGGGAGCAGCUCCGAGGAUCGGGGCUGUGAGACCAGUGCCGUGAAUCAGAGCGGCGCAGAGCACGGGUGCAGUGCAGGGACUCAGAGCAGUGCCAGGACUCAGAGUGGCGUGGUGAUGCUGGUCUGGGGGCAGAAGGCCCAAAGAUUGCUGGUUUGCCUCUUGACUGUGCUGGGGCUCGAGAUGGUGUAGGCCUCGAGACCGGAGACUUGGAUGCCUUCAUCUCAAUGAACCCUCUGGCAGCCUCAAAGGCCUCCAAUUUUCUCAAAGACAAACAUUCCCAAACAGACCAUCUGUUGUCGAAGAGAGCACUUUGAGGAGGAGCAGAUUCUUUCCAUCUCGCUUAUUUCUUGGUACCCAUUCCAUUUUCUGAGUAGGCCUCUUCUACACAAGGGGUUAUGAAUGUCUAUCACCUGCAACUUCGGCAUCAUCUGCUGGUUACCACCAAAAGUGAUCCAACAAGGUGUACAUCAGACAAUAAAAUACCAGUAUCAAAAAAAGACUUCAUCCAGGAAAACCAUGGAUGAGUUCGUAAUCAUGAUCAACAAAUUCCAGCAAGACUCCUCUGUAGUUGACAAGAUUCGAAACCGUGCAGGGAGACCUCAAUGGAUUUCUAGUCCUUCACCUUAACCACUUGGCCAUAACUACUUGAGGGGAGGGAUAACUCAGUGGUUUGAGCAUUGGCCUGCUAAACCCAUGGUUGUGAGUUCAAUCCUUGAGGGGGCCAUUUAGGGAUCUCGGGCAAAAAUUGGGGAUUGGUCCUGCUUUGAGCAGAGGCUUGGACUAGAUGACCUCCUGAGGUCCCUUCCAACCCUGAUAUUCUACGACUCAGAUGAAGAGACUGCUCCGUUCAUUUGUGUAACAAAUUCUCCCUUUCAUUUUCUUCAGAACAAACAUUUCAAUAACAUAGCUUCAUCAUAAGGAUUGAACCAUGCUCCAUCUGGCUGAGCAGACAUUGCAGGAAGGUUGCUGGACAGUAUAUGAGAAGGAAAUCAAACAGCAUGCAAAAAACAUUGACAGUAAAUUCAUUACUCUCUUGCUAGGUGGAGCCAAUGAUCCACUAGUAUGUGCUUGUGUGACAACAGAAGAUGGGGCUGUCUUAUAGAAACAAUUGAUACAUCAGGAAAUGCCCAUACAGCCGAAUACUUAAACAUAGCAGUAAAGCUAUAAUUGAACAAAAUUCUAAUGUUUUUGAAAACUUCUGCAGGCUGACCUAAAAUCAUCAUUCACUGACUACAGUUAGUCCUACUGUUCCUUUAAUAAAUCAUUUAGUUGUAAAUGGGAAA